AUGAGCAGCAGCUGGAGCCUGGAUUCGAGCGACAGUGGGUCGGGGAGCUCGACUGGACUUCGACCAUGGGAAGCAUGGCAAGCUGGCGAUCCGGAGCUACGUCCUGGAGUCGCCCAUGUCCUGCUUCCUCGCACUGCUGGCAUCGAAAUUCUAGAUGUCAGGUACCGCAAUCACGCCCUCUAUGCAACCAUUCUUAGUGGAGGAAGACUAUUAUGCAUAACUUCCGAGCGCAGGCUGCUGCUAGGCCCGCUCCGGCCCGGCGGCCAUCUCCGUGUCAGCCCGGAGUGGAUCCAAUCGCUCAACGGCACGACGCUGCCAGAGGCGAGCAACCACCGCACGCUAUUCGUGGGGCUUGCUAGAGCCGAGAGCUCCAACCUGGCGAUGGUCCCCUGGGCGCCGCCCCGCGCCCAGACGGCGUGCACGGCGGCAGAGAUGAUGGAGGCCGAGGACGGCGAGGGCACGUCCAUGGAGGUGGAGCGGGAUAGGGCCGACCAGCAGCUCUCGAUGCCCCAGUGGCAGCAGCAGCAGCACUACAUGGUGCAGCAGCAGCCGAUCCCGGUGGCGUGGUCAUGGUGA
rnacentral:rRNA from 1 species